rnacentral:rRNA from 1 species
AUUGAACGCUGGCGGCAGGCCUAACACAUGCAAGUCGAGCGGAGCGGCGGACGGGUGAGUAAUGCCUAGGACUCUGCCUGUUAGUGGUGGAUCACGUCCGGAACCGGGCGCUAAUACCGCAUACUCUCCCCUGAGCCUAGGUCGGAUUAGCUAUUUGGUGUGGUAAAGGCCUACCAAGGCGACGAUCCGUAACUGGUCUGAGAGGAUGAUCAGUCACACUGGAACUGAGACACGGUACAGACUCCUACGGGAGGCAGCAGUGGGGAAUAUUGGACAAUGGGCGCAAGCCUGAUCCAGCCAUGCCGCGUGUGUGAAGAAGGGCUUCGGAUUGUAAAGCACUUUAAGUUGGGAGGCGUUACCAACAGAAUAAGCACCGGCUAACUUCGUGCCAGCAGCCGCGGUAAUUC